rnacentral:rRNA from 1 species
GACGAACGCUGGCGGCGUGCCUAAUACAUGCAAGUUGAGCGCUGAAGGUUGGUACUUGUACCAACUGGAUGAGCAGCGAACGGGUGAGUAACGCGUGGGGAAUCUGCCUUUGAGCGGGGGACAACAUUUGGAAACGAAUGCUAAUACCGCAUAAAAACUUUAAACACAAGUUUUAAGUUUGAAAGAUGCAAUUGCAUCACUCAAAGAUGAUCCCGCGUUGUAUUAGCUAGUUGGUGAGGUAAAGGCUCACCAAGGCGAUGAUACAUAGCCGAACUGAGAGGGUGAUCGGCCACAUUGGGACUGAGACACGGCCCAAACUCCUACGGGAGGCAGCAGUAGGGAAUCUUCGGCAAUGGACGAAAGUCUGACCGAGCAACGCCGCGUGGGGGAAGAAGGUUUUCGGAUCGGAAAAAUCUGUUGGUAGAGAAGAACGUUGGUGAGAGUGGAAAGCUCAUCAAGUGACGGUAACUACUCAGAAAGGGACGGCUAACUACGUG